rnacentral:rRNA from 1 species
UACCAGCUCUCCGAGUGGUGGGGAUGAUUAUUGGGCUUAAAGCGUCCGUAGCCGGCCUUUCAAGUCUCUCGUUAAAUCCAGCGAUUCAAUCGUUGGACUGCGGGAGAUACUGUUAGGCUAGGGGGCGGGAGAAGCCGACGGUAUUCUCAGGGUAGGGGUAAAAUCCUAUAAUCCUGGGAAGACCACCAGUGGCGUAGGCGGUCGGCUAGCACGCGCUCGACGGUGAGGGACGAAAGCUGGGGGAGCGAACCGGAUUAGAUACCCGGGUAGUCCCAGCUGUAAACGAUGCGGGCUAGGUGUUGGAGCGGCUACGAGCCGCUUCAGUGCCGCAGGGAAGCCAUUAAGCCCGCCGCCUGGGGAGUACGGCCGCAAGGCUGAAACUUAAAGGAAUUGGCGGGGGAGCACCACAAGGGGUGAAGCUUGCGGUUUAAUUGGAGUCAACGCCGGGAACCUUACCGGGGGCGACAGCAGGAUGAAAGCCAGGUUGAUGGUCUUGCUGGACGAGCUGAGAGGAGGUGCAUGGCCGUCGCCAGUUCGUGCCGUGAGGUGUCCUGUUAAGUCAGGCAACGAUCGAGACCCACACCCUCUGUUGCUUCUGAGGAGUUUUUCCGAGGGGCACUCUGAGGGGACUGCCGCCGAUAAGGUGGAGGAAGGAGUGGGCCACGGCAGGUCAGUAUGCCCCGAAUCCCCCGGGCCACACGCGAGCUGCAAUGGUUGGGACAGUGGGUCCCGACCUCGAGAGGGGGAGGCAAUCCCGAAACCCAGCCUCAGUUGGGAUCGAGGGCUGAAACCCGCCCUCGUGAACAUGGAAUCCCUAGUAAUCGCGCGUCAUCAGCGCGCGGUGAAUACGUCCCUGCUCCU